rnacentral:rRNA from 1 species
AUUGAACGCUGGCGGCAUGCCUUACACAUGCAAGUCGAACGGCAGCACGGGAGCAAUCCUGGUGGCGAGUGGCGAACGGGUGAGUAAUAUAUCGGAACGUGCCCGGUCGUGGGGGAUAACGUAGCGAAAGCUACGCUAAUACCGCAUACGAUCUACGGAUGAAAGCGGGGGAUCGCAAGACCUCGCGCGAUUGGAGCGGCCGAUAUCAGAUUAGGUAGUUGGUGAGGUAAAGGCUCACCAAGCCGACGAUCUGUAGCUGGUCUGAGAGGACGACCAGCCACACUGGGACUGAGACACGGCCCAGACUCCUACGGGAGGCAGCAGUGGGGAAUUUUGGACAAUGGGCGCAAGCCUGAUCCAGCAAUGCCGCGUGCAGGA